CUCACUGCUGGCUGCUUUCUACCUGCCGUGCUGUGGACCAUUUCUCCUCUGCCAUGUCCUUCUGCCAAGUUGCCCUGCCUUGCAACCAGUCUUGGACUAAACCUGCUACAAACUGGAUUGAACUCAGGACCUUGCACUUGCAAGGCAGGCACGGUACCACUGAGCUAAAUCCCCAGGCCUUCUGAAACUCUCUUAAAAGAUAGUUGACCUCUAUGCAUUCUACACUGGCCUUCGCCCUUUUUCUCCUUCAAUGUGUUGUCACGCAGAGCUCAAGUACUUUUCCCGCACUAUGCAGUUACACCUACAGAUGUUGUGCUUGCAAAAUGUAAAGAACCAAGGUCCCUCCUGAUCACUAUUCAUCAGCCACCAUAUCAGCCCUCUACUACCUGUAUCUGGAUUUCUUUUAUGUCAAAGAGAAAUAAAUCUCUGUCUUGUUUAAGUGCU